GCCAAAGACGCGCUUUUUGGGGAAGUGAACUGACCUUUCUCGGCUACCGUACACUUCCGCUUCAGUGAGCAGCUAGCUCUUCAGGUUGCUACCUUUUGGGCUUUCGAACUGGAGGCUCCACGUCGGCUGCUGGUCGUCUAUCUGCAUAUCUCAAAAGAGUAAACAAUCAAUCACAACAAAGUAACAAGUUGAAUGGCUGUCUGCUCAUUGCCAAGUGGGACGAGUGGUCGGCCAGUGGUGCACCAUGCCUGGACCUGAGACAAAAAGUGAUCGGUAAGUAAAAAGCUAAGUCAACAUUUUGUGCAGAAAAGGUUUUGGCAUGAUACAUACCAGUGCGCAAGUAGAGUUGUUUAUGGCACAGAGUACUGCAAGCUGCAUGACAAGCAAGCCAAUUUCAUUCCUUGCUGCAUGACCCAGGAAGUAAAUUUGGUUUCUUGCUUCCUGUCAGAAAAUAGGAGAAAAAAAUUAUUGGAAUAAAGAUAAGUGUGUAAUGAGGAGCAUUUAAAUUGCCUCACUUCUCAGGUUGCCUUAGCGCCGAGUAAAUAAGAACACCAAGGUGCUGCUGGUAUGCGGCUUUGCUCUUGUCCUCAGCUUCCGCGACAACCAGAGAAUGCCCCACACUGGACAAAAAAAAAGAAAAACCAACCAGUUAUUCAAAUUUUGAAACAGGUAUGCUAAAAUGUAAUUUACUUUCCUUCCCUUACCAGCGGAGAGCUUUUCAGGCAGCACAGACCCAGGUGUACGCGCUCGGAGGUGUAAGACAAACUGUGGCAGGGUUUUCACUUUCUGGACCUGGAUUUGCCACCUCUGCCUGGAAAGAAAAAGGAAAUUGUCACAACGACUUCAUUUAAGUUAACUGCUUUUGUUUUUUACUGUAGAGUGGAAGCAGCCAGUCGCUGGUGCACAGGCAGAGUUCCUGAAAUGUCGGGAAUAUUCUCCAGGAUUGACACCUGCACACAACACCAACCAAUCAAGCUGCCAUUUAGUAAAUUUUAUUUGUGUGUCAACUCUGAAAAUGGAGACAACCUCAAGGUUGCAUGGUUUUGGAGAGCUUUUAUCUUUGGCCAGCAGGUAGCGGAUUCCCAACUGCAUCUUUACUGGAAAGUGCUCUGCAGAAAGAGGGAGGCUUAAAAAAAAGCACCCAAGUGUUUUUAAAUAAUGCCAAGUUUGUAGUCACCUAUCAGCAGGUCAGACAAGAGGUUGAUGAUUCCACAGGUUCAAAACCUUGUAGAUACACACCAGGAGAGCCAUGCUACAGAAGCUAGGUCCUUUGGCACCACCUAGUGGACAAAAGACAAAUAACAUGCGGAAAUGUUUGACAUGUGUCAAACAUUUGGACGCGUGCGUGUUUCACCAGUGACGAAUGGAGGGCACCACCGGACGUCUCUCCAACCACAGCUCGCUCGUCUGAAAGACACGGUAAUGUUACAAUCAUUCUGCUUUUACAUUUUUGAGCCUAACAAGCAAAUUGAGCAAGAGUAGACCUGCAAGUGUCCCAUGAAGCCAUGAGAAGACUGCAAGGUGGCCAUUUUGGACCCUGCAGACAAGAGAAAAAGAACAAAUGUUUGCUUCAGUCAAUUUGACAAGAUGCCUUGCUAAUAAAUUUUUUUUGCCACUUUGCAUUCAACCUGCUCCCUCUGUUCCAGAUGCAAGCCUGCCUGGGGACAGAAAUGAGAAGACAAUUAGAAGCAGUCGAUUGAAAGAGUUGACUUUAAAACUCACAAAGUCAGUCGGCCAUGACGGGCUCGUUUUGAGGGUUUGCACCUGCAGACAGAAAGUCGAAUAUUAACACGAAUUCAUCGAAAUGCCUGUUUCAGUAAUUCUCUGGUGGAUUCAUGCAAACGCUGCUAUGUCUACUUACCUUCGGCCAAACGGCGCUGUCGUCCAGACGUUGCUAAAUGUUUGUGCAAAAAUAGGGUUAGUCAUCUUUCCACACAAUGCGUGCUUCAGUUUUCAAAAUGUACAUGUACUUACCCACCGUUAAAUGCUUACUUUGUUUGGUUGCACGCCAGAUAAAUGCGUGUUGGUGGUUGUUGGAGAUGUUAACUGCUAACGCUAGCUUCUGCAAACGUUUGAGCUUGCAAGAUGGAAGCACGCCCAAAGUGCAACUAGACGCUGAAAGAGAGCAAAAGCAGUUAGUUUCAAAAGGUUUAACAAAAGUUGAACACCCACCUUGUCACUUUUACACGCUGUUGUACGGCCGGCGCAGCAGGUGGACCAGAGCAACGUGGCUCUCGCUGUCAGUGGUGAGUGCAAGAAUGAGCGUCGCGAUCUUGACGCCUUUUAUACUCUUUUUGUGAUGACGUCAUUAGAAGAAGAAAAAAAGAAAAAAAAACUUUCAAACAGGCGCUAAUGCGAGAGAAAAACUGCCAAGACAAUUCUCUGGAGGGUUCUGGCCUCGAACCAGCACUGCAAAGUUCGGAGGCAAUGAUGUUAUCCCCUCGACCAUUGUCCCCUGAAUGUUGACAGAAUAAAUUUGUCUAUUGUUCCAAAUCAUGAAGAUAUCUGCAAUAAAGGUUCAGAAUAACGUUCAAUUACAACCACUUGA